GGAGAAAAGGCAUAGCCAUUCUAUUGAUUAAUCCAUGAAAUGCAAUAUUCAUCUCCAAAAUCUGAAAUUGGAAUUUGAACAUACUCUUCUAUCACCAGUAAAAUAAAAUAAAACCAAAAACCUGUUUCCCAUUAAGGAAAACGACACACAAUAUCAUAGAAUGGAGAAAUAGCUGACAGCAAUACCACAUCAAGCCCAGUAAACACCACUUCAAUAACCAAGUAAUCAAUGCUGCUGCUUUUAAAUAAAAUGAGAGCUACAAAAAAAAUCAGUGUUUAACUCAUGCAAUCAAGCACAUACACUAGCCCUUUGGAAAGGGUAAAUCUAAUCCUAUAGUAAAGAAGUUCAAAGGCACAACCAAAAUCUCCUCAUAUGCGGAAUAAGUCAUUCAAAAAAAAGAAAAAGGAAAAAGCUCAGCCUAGUAAAAGAAUCCAAGCACUUUGCCACCAACAUUCUUUCUUCUAGCCUCUUCGUGGUCCAUAAUGCCAGCAGAAGUUGUCAACACAAUAUAACCAAACUGUCUUGAAGGGAGCAACCUUGCAGUCCAUCCCUCAAUCUCCUUGACACCAAUAUCAAAUCGAGGGCUGAUAACUCCACACUUGUUCAACCUUCCAUUCAAUUCAACCACAAUUUUACCAGCCCUGUGAUCGUCAACAUAUUCGAACUCACCAAUGUAACCUAUGUACCAGAACCAAAGAGAAAAUGAUUAUAAAUCAGUGUAGGUUUAAGAAUUUUCAAGGAAAAGUGAUGAGAAAGAAUACAAGUGAAAUGAAAUGAUACCGUGCUUCUGCAUCACCAGCAGAAAUUUGAUGAUCACUUUUGAUGAAGGCCUGAUCAUGACCUGGCGCUUCCCACGCUUUUCAGCAUUGUACAUGCUCUUCAAAGCAUCAUUCAAAACGCUAACUCUCACCAUUGUUGCUAAAUACAUAUUUUAAGAAGUGUCAAUGACAUAAAAGAAGUGUGUAGCAAAUACAAUUGAUAAUUAAGAAAAAUAAACAGAAGGGUCACAAACAUAUAACUUUGGAUAAAAUGUAUUGAAGGAGGAUUAAAGGUUAGCGGCAUUAUAAUUUAACUAACAGAAAUGCCAGCCUUCUGAGAUAUGAUAAGAAGGCAUAAACUCCAUUCAAGUUUGUUAUGAGGCAAACCCUUUAGUCUACUACAGCUAAACUAAACAUCUAGUUAAACAAGCAAAAGAGCCAAUUUAAAAUAACAGAGUGAUCCCUAAAAGCCUCAGAACUGCACUAGUAACCACAGAAUCAACAUAAACAACAAGGAUAAAUAAAAAGCAGAAUAAAUUACAAGAUUUUAAUGAUCCAAACUAUAUAAACAAAGAUUUUUCCGGGUCGUAGCUAAUGGGACAAGGAAAUAUUUCAUCAAGGACAGCUCUAUUCAGUUAAUAUCAUAUCAAUUCUAUAAUAGAUCAACCUAUAAUAACCCAAGAGAAUCUUCAAAACAACCACUAAGCGCAUCAACAGGGUUUGCAAUAAAUUCCUUUUUCAUUUUCUUUUCGCAGAAAUCAAACAGAAAAAUAACGAACAUACGUACUGCAGGCGAAUGCAGGGAAGGAUCUGCAGAGGAACCUCCAAGGAAGUGAGAACGGAGAGCUAGGGU
rnacentral:misc_RNA from 1 species